GUUCUCUUCAUGAAUAAAGGUCAGAGAUAAGUGGGUGCUGCCAUGGUGGACAACACAAUGUCAUCUGGGAUGGCUGAACCUCUACCCCCCCCCAGCACAUUAGCGCCACAGAUGUCUUUGCCAUCUCUUAGAUGCCCUGAUGAAGCCAACAACUUGCUUGUAGAUACUUUUUCAGGAAUAGAUAAAAGCUUUCCUCACCAAACGAGAGACGGCCUCUACAAUCAUCAAGAAGAUAC
rnacentral:lncRNA from 1 species